CCUGAGGCAAACAAAUCGCUUGAGCCCGGGAGUUCAAGAGCAGCCUGGGCAACAUGGCAAACCCCACCUCUAAAAAAAUACAAAAAUUAGCCUGGCAUAGUGGCAUGCACCUGUAGUCCCAGCUUCUCGGGAGGUUGAGUCUGUUUCUGGAUGCUGGCAGUCAUUCAGAAACAUUUGCUGAGCACCUCGUACCUGCUGAAUGAACCCACGUGAAGGGGAGCCAGGAGUGCGGAUCAUUAAAAAGCCUGUACUUUCUCAGUCCCCAUUUGACACCACAGAGAGAAAAUGCAUGCUCCUGAUUUGGGUAGAUCUAGAAUGUUCUUAUGAAUAUGGACUUUCUCCCGCCUGAUAACAUCUAAAUGACUCAUGCCUACACCACCUGGAGAGCUCAGGGAAGGCACGGUUUGUUCAGGCCACCCUCACUCCAAGGGCCAGCCCUUUUUUGGAAUAGAAACUAAAAGUUGGUAGCUUCCAUUUGUAGUUCCAUCUAACAGAAGAGCCGACCCACUCACAUUAGCUGGCUCACGACUAAGGCAACCAAUGCCUCCCAGAACAUAGACUCAACUGGCAACCCCGGCACUGAAGGUCAAGGUGAGUCAAAGACACUCAUGCAGAAGGGUGGAUGCUCUUCCAAGUGUGACUGGCUGGCCUGCACGGCUCACUGCCUCCCCUCCUCCCGUCAAGAUGCAGCUUCAGUUUAAACCACCUUCGUUCCAUUCAUCAAAGAGGAAUAUUUACUGUUAUUGUAAUGACUCUUCUCACAGUACACAAGGCUACACCUGAAACACACAGGCCUUUCAGAAAGCACAAAGGAGCAUUGUGCAAGCCCCUGCCCAGUGAGAUGGAUGGGGGCGUAGACACGCCAGUUAACAGCCGGGCUUUGCAGGCCAGCAAGACUUAUCUGUGGCCGCACCAUGGCCACUGAGCUUGUACCUUUCUUCUUUUAAAAAUUGCUCCUUCAUUAUAAGCAGAGUUAAAUACCUGCACAUGUGAUUUGUGUUGAAAUAAUAAAGCAACAAACACACAUCAAGCUGAGGAGAGAAUCUUGGCUAAGGUAGGAAGUCGUGGGUCUGGUCUCAGUCUGUGCUGCUGACCAACUGUAAGAACUCAGAACUCACUGUCCACUCAGGACCACAGUGUCUCAUCUGAAAGGACGAGGAGACUGGAACACACCAGAGCCAUGGUUCUCAAUGUGUGGUCCAGAGGCCCUCGGGGGUCCCUGAGCCUCUUUCUGGGGAUCUGUGAGGUCAAAACUACUUUCACAAGUAUGGUUUGCCUUUUUCACUCUCACUCUCUCAUGCUUGAACAAUGGAAUCUUCUAAAGGCUUCCUGACACGUGAUGCUACAAUGGAUGGAAUCCAGAGGUGGAUAGGAGAAGCCAGCUGCCUUCUAUUAAACCAGAAAUGAAGAACAUUUGCAGAAAUGUACAACAAUGCCAUGCUUCCCAUUAAUUAUUUUGUUCUUGCUUUAGAAUAUGUCACUUUUCAUUGAAAAAUGUUACUCAUGAUUUUAUGUAAAAGGUUUAUUGUUGUUACUUUUAAAUACAUAUUUUAAGUGUUUUUUAGUUUUGAUUUCUAAUAUGGCAAAAAUUGGUAAAAUCACAUACACAAGGGCUUUUGGGGAUCCUCAAAACUUUUUAAGAGUGUAAAGGGAUCCAGAGACCAAAAGUUUGAUAACCACUAACCAAAAACUUUGACAACCAUCAUCUUGAAGGGUCCUUGGACUUUCUGGAAUUUGGAUCUCCCUUGCCUUGUUCAGUUUUCUCUCUUUUUAGCCAUCUCGUACUUACUGCCAUUUCAGUUCCUAUGUACCUGACUUAUUAAUUAUGCUUAUUGUUUACCAUGUGUGUUCCCCUCCCAUAUAAACUCCAUGAGGACUGAGAUAUUUGUCCAUGAUGUUCAUCAGUGCAUCCCAGGCUGCCUAGAACUGGGCCUGGCCCUUAGCAGGCACUUGUUUUUGGAUGGGAGGGAGGAGAAGGGAGGGGAGAGGGCAAGUUCUUUCAGUGUCUGUAUAAUGGACAGAGCAAGGUGUACCACCUCGGUGUGAUAGAAGAGAUGGAGACAGGAGAAAGGAAGCUCUGCACAGGAUCACGUGGUAGGUGGCAAAGUCAGGGCUCCAUCACAGCUUCUGUUGUCACAUGACUCUGUUAUCUGACCCUUUAAGGCAGCCCCUUCUGCUCCAACAGAGCUUCAGGGUAACUGAGUGCCCCGCAAUUGGUGUUAGC
rnacentral:lncRNA from 10 species